AGGACGAACGCUGGCGGCGUGCUUAACACAUGCAAGUCGAACGAGGUCCAUCCGGUAGCAAUACCGGAGAAGACCUAGUGGCGAACGGGUGAGUAACACGUGAGCAACCUGCCCCGAAGACCGGGAUAACAGCGGGAAACCGCUGCUAAUACCGGAUGCCCCCACCGGGUCGCAUGACCUGGUGAGGAAAUGGAUUCCGCUUCGGGAGGGGCUCGCGGCCUAUCAGCUUGUUGGUGGGGUAACGGCCUACCAAGGCGACGACGGGUAGCUGGUCUGAGAGGACGAUCAGCCACACUGGGACUGAGACACGGCCCAGACUCCUACGGGAGGCAGCAGUGGGGAAUAUUGCGCAAUGGGCGAAAGCCUGACGCAGCAACGCCGCGUGAGGGAUGAAGGCCUUCGGGUUGUAAACCUCUUUCGAGCAGGGACGAUAAUGACGGUACCUGCAGAAGAAGCUCCGGCCAACUACGUGCCAGCAGCCGC
rnacentral:rRNA from 1 species